CAGAGUUGCAAAACUCCCUAAACCAUUGUGAACCUACCCCUAAACAGUUGCUUCGGCGGCGCCCGGACAGGCCCGCCGGAGACCACUAAACCCUUGUUUUUUAACACUGGCCUCUCUGAGUUUACUGUACUGUAAUAAGUCA
rnacentral:misc_RNA from 1 species